GAUGAAGAACGCAGCGAAAUGCGAUAAGUAGUGUGAAUUGCAGAAUUCAGUGAAUCAUCGAAUCUUUGAACGCACAUUGCGCCCUUUGGUAUUCCUUAGGGCAUGCCUGUUCGAGCGUCAUUUAAACCUUCAAGCUCAGCUUGGUGUUGGGUGACUGUCCGCUUCACCGCGGACUCGCCUCAAAAUUAUUGGCGGCCGGUACAUUGGCUUCGAGCGCAGCAGAAACGCGAACUCGGGCCCGUCGUAUUGGCUCCCAGAAGCUAUCUUCACAAUUUUGACCUCGGAUCAGGUAGGGAUACCCGCUGAACCUAAGCAUAUCAAUAAGCGGAGGA
rnacentral:misc_RNA from 1 species